rnacentral:rRNA from 1 species
GGCAGUAACAGAGAGUCUGGAUUAUGCUCAGAUUGAACGCUGGCGGGAUGCUUUACACAUGCAAGUCGAACGGCAGCACGGACUUGGUCUGUGGCGAGGGCGAACGGGUGAGUAAUGUAUCGGAACGUGCCUAGUAGCGGGGAUAACUACGCUGGUGCUGUAGCUAAUACUGCAUACGCCCUUCGGGGAAAGCGGGGGACCUUCGGGCCCUCGCAAUUACAGAGCGGCCGAUAUCGGAUUAGCUAGCUGCGGGGUAACGGCUCACUAAGGCGACGAUCCGUGCAGCUGUUUGAGAGGACGACCAGCCACACUGGGACUGAGACACGGCCCAGACUCCUACGGGAGGCAGCAGUGGGGAAUUUUGGACAAUGGGGGGAAACCCUGAUCCGUUUCAAUAUCCUCGCGGUAAAAGCAAGUUUACGCCGAAGGCCUCGGAAGGUGGUAAAGCACUUUUGGCAAGUGAAAAAAGAACGGCACGGGAUAAUACCCUGUGCAACUGACGGCAGAAUAAGCACCGGCUAACUACGUGCCAGCAGCCGCGGUAAUACGUAGGGUGCAAGCGUUAAUCGGAAUUACUGGGCGCGUGCGGCAGGCGGUUCGGAAAGAAAGAUGAAAAUCCCCGCGAGCGCACUUUGAACUGCAUUUUUAAUCACCGAGCUAGAGUGUGUCAGAGGGAGGUGGAAUUCCGCGUGUAGCAGUGAAUGCGUAGAUAUGCGGAGGAACACCGAUGGCGAAGGCAGCCUCCUGAUAACACCGCCACGCUCAUGCACGAAAGCGUGGGGAGUAAACAGGAUUAGAUACUCCUGGUAGUCCACGCCCUAAAACGAUGUCAACUAGCUGUUGGGGCCUUCGGCCUUGGUAGCGCAGCUAACGCGUGAAGUUGACCGCCUGGGGACGGUCGCAAGAUUAAAACUCAAAGGAAUUGACGGGGACCCGCACAAGCGGUGGAUGAUGUGUGGAUUAAUUCGAUGCAACGCGAAAACUCUAUUUUACCCUUGGACAUGUCUGGAAUCCCGAAGAGAUUUGGGAGUGCUCGCAAGAGAAACCGAACACAGGUGCUGUGCAUGGCUGUCGUCAGCUCGUGUCGUGAGAUGUUGGGUUAAGUCCCGCAACGAGCGCAACCCUUGUCAUUAGUUGCUACGAAAGGGCACUCAAUGAGACUGCCGGUGACAAACCGGAGGAAGGUGGGGAUGACGUCGUCUUUAUGGCCCUUAUGCAGUAGGGACACACGGUGCUUCACAAUGAAGUCGGGACAGAGGGUCGCUAACCCGGGCGCAGGAGCCAAUCCCAGGAACCCGAUCGCAGUCCGGAUCGCAGUCUGCAACUCGACUGCGUGAAGUCGGGAAUCGCUAGUAAUCGCGGAUCAGCAUGUCGCGGUGAAUACGUUCCCGGGUCUUGUACACACCGCCUGUCACACCAUGGGAGUGGGUUUUACCAGAAGUAGUUAGCCUUAACCGUAAGGAGGGCGAUUACCACGGCAGAUUCCGAUGACUGGGGUGAAGUCGUAACAAGGUAG